GAGUCUGAAAGGAUUGAAGAAUUAUGAAACUGUAACGAGGGAGGCCUGUUCUUGGCAAACACUUACAUGAUUCAAAUGCUGGGGAAUUCGAAGAAGCUGCAUUUGAGAGCAGUAAUGAGCUGCCCUGGCAGGACUACAAAGGGCUUUGGAGGAGCAGGUACCGGAGGAUGAGACAACCCGAAGAGAUAAUCAUCACACGCUGACAAUCACUUGCCAUCAAUUAUCCACACGCCGCUGCUGUCAAUGAAUCACAACCCCUACCUGGUGGGAGAGUCACUGCUGGUGCCACUGAGGCAUUUCGCCAAUAAUGUAUAACGGGGGAGGAUAUUAGACGCUAUUUUCAGACAGGCUGAGAGAUUGAUAUGCAAGCCAAAGGGAAAUGCAUUAAACUAUUUAACUGCCUGGAAAUCCAGCAUAAUGAACAUCCA